rnacentral:lncRNA from 1 species
UUAAUUAAUAAGUUUGACAAUUGGAAAAUUCCCCCCAAUAUUCCCACAGUUUCCACAAGCUACAAAUUUGAAUUUCAGCUCCAAAAAACUAGAUCUGGAAUUCUAAAGCUCUUUUAGAUCUUAUUUUCUUCAGAAAACCAAAAAUUUAGAAGAAAAAACUCAGAAAAAAACUUUUCUAUUGAAAUUUUAGGUUGAUUUCGUAUUGUUGUGUUUGAUUUGCAUCAUUUAGCCUAGGGUCUGAUUGUUAAAGUUUUCUGGGGUUUCCUGGGUUCAUCUCGAGUGCUCUGAGUUCAAUCGACACUGUUUUGGGUCGUUUUAUUGGUUGCUGAUCAGAAUUUGUCCUGGUCUAAUUUUGAGUUUGUUUAGGGUUCAUUCAAGCUGUUUUGGUUGGUUCAUUGGUGUUGUUUGCAUUAAAACCUUUCCUGGUCUAUUUUCAUAUCAUUUCUGGGUUUAUAAGAGAUUACGAGCUUGUUGAUUCCUGUUGUUCAACACUGCUGUGUGUUGUUUAUUGUAUCCACAUGUAUGAACCUAUUUUGAAGUUAAAUGACGAGGAACAUCUGUUUGCACCUGAUCCUUUGCUUUUGUUAUUUCAGCUUAGAAAUUUAGCUUUACUGUUUGUUUGAACAAUUUUUUAAAUGCAUUGAUUCGGACGUUAUGGACUGUAUUGGACUACUGCAUUUUUUAUCAAAUUCUAUGGUUAUUCUGUUGAAGAAUGUUAGAUUUGAUUUGCUUUAGUUUAUUACCAUGUUUUAGAUUUAGGCUCAGGAUAUGAUGUUGGUUCACUAGUACUGAUUUAGUUGUAUUAAAAAAUAUUGAACAUAUAAUUAGAAUUCUA